rnacentral:rRNA from 1 species
AUUGAACGCUGGCGGCAGGCCUAACACAUGCAAGUCGAGCGGAGCGGAGGACGGGUGAGUAAUGACUAGGAAUCUGCCUGGUAGUGGGGGAGAAGGUGCGGAAACGGGCGCUAGUACCGCAUACUAUCAGAUGAGUGUAGAGGGGAUUAGCUAGUUGGUGGGGUAAAGGCCUACCAAGGCGACGAUCCGUAACUGGUCAGAGAGGAUGAUCAGUCACACUGGAACUGAGACACGGUCCAGACUCCUACGGGAGGCAGCAGUGGGGAAUAUUGGACAAUGGGCGAAAGCCUGAUCCAGCCAUGCCGCGUGUGUGAAGAAGGUCUUCGGAUUGUAAAGCACUUUAAGUUGGGAGGCGUUACCAACAGAAUAAGCACCGGCUAACUUCGUGCCAGCAGCCGCGGUAAUAC